AUGUACUUAAACACAAAUAAAGAGUAAGAGGCGUAAAGUAUCUAAAAAUAUGUAUUUCUAAAUGCUAAUCAGGCCUAACCAGCCAGUUUAAGAGCAAGUAGAAAUCAAGAAAGCACAAUAAAAUUCAAUCUUUAACCAUUUCUUGUUAGUCCAUCCAGUGUCCAAGUCAAGGUAUAAAAUAAUCCAAUGUCUUAUUGAAACAGUUUUAGCAUGUCAGACAUAAUAUAUUGUAAUAAACUAUAUCUUAGGAUUCAAGAUUUUGUAUAAGCCAAAGUUACUUUUUGUGACUUGUUUAAGGAGUUCGGGUUGGGACUCGAGGGGUUCGGGUGAGUAAUGGAAUUAAAAACCCACAAUAGCUCUACAAGAUUUUAAUUUUUUCUUGUGCCAGAGUAGUGUUUUGCGAUUUUGGAGCACUGUCUCGCUUUCGCGUAGGGUAUUGGUGAUGUACAUCAUGGUCGCUAAGCUCGAGUCGUGUUUACAGAGGAGGCUUAUUGGACUGUGCUUUUCAGUCGAAAGACCUGCUAUCGUGAUUGUAAUGGGCAAUUGUGUCAGGUAUAAAACAAAGAUUAUAGGAUUAUUUCAUUGCACAACAUUUAUGGGUAUUUUGGAGCUCACUUUUGUGUUAUAUUUGAAAGAGAAAUCAUCAAUUGUGUUGGCUAAGUCUGUUAAACUCAAAUUUGAUUAUAUCACAUGAUUUCCCAUGAGAUUUAGGCCUUUAAUCUAUGGAUCCGAAGUGUUAAAUUGAGAGAUUUUCUUCUAGGUUAUAGAAUGCAUAAUUUGAUUAUUUGGGAGUCGAUUUGAUGUUGGAUUGAGGAAAUAAUUAUAGAUUUAGAACCCUUAGGGUAUGUAUAACCUGAUUUUGAAAUCAAUUUUUGAUUUUGACCCAAGGUUCGAGUUUUACUUUUGUUCACUAAGACAUAGACCAUAAAUUAUGAGAAUCGGUUCUUUAGCUUCGUUUAAUGAUAGUAAUCAUUCUUUUUGCUAGAGUUGAGUCAUUUGGACACGUUUAGGCAAGGAAAAAUGGCCAAGAAGGAUUGAAAACUCAUUUUGAUCGAAGUAAGUUAAGACUUUGACCUUCUCGAGGAAAUUUAUCUCAACUUAUGUGUUAUACGUGAUUUACUAUGUGGGGAAUAGUAUAUACAUGGCGCGACAAGUAUAUAUACGACUACUGGAUAUGAAAGAAGAGACACUUGAAAUGCUAGUUGUAGCUUUCUCGUGUUUCGAUGAAUGAGCAUGAUAUAUAUGCCUUGUUGAUGAAAUUAGACUUUCAUAUGUUAGAAAGCAAGUCUUAUCUCUGUAUUCAUUGAAAUUCUAUUUGAGAAUUUAUAUGCCUUACAAAUUGUUAUUCCUUUUACAAGUGCUAUUUCUUUAUAUGCUCCUUAUAUUUAUGAUAUGAUAUUAUUGAGGAGUAGAUAUGUGAAUAUUAGGGAUCGUGCGAGUCCGAUCUUGACACGGUGUUGGGGAUCGUUCGAGUUCGACAUUGAGAUAACGAUGAGCACCGUCUAUGUCCUAUUUGAUACAAGGAUGUAGGGCUAUUGAGCCGGAUUGUGAAGGUAACAUGAUAGGACUAUUGAGUCUGUGAGAGCAUAUAUAUUAUCAUGUGCACGUACGGAUAUGAAUGCAUCCUUCUUGAGUCACUGGCUUGGUAUCACCCUUGCAAUGAGCACGCUGGUUAUAAAAAAAGUUGACCAACUGAGCUGAGAAGUGAACUUAUAUGAUAAAGAUCCUACAUCUACUUCUUUUCUUGAUUAUUUCCUUGCUUUAAUUUAUUAUCUAUAUUUGAAUUUAUCUAUUUGUUUGACUUGAACUUAGAGAAAUGGUUUAAUAUUAUUGAUUGUCAAGUAUAUGCCUAUGUUUCUAUUAUUUCUCAUUUCAUUUAUAUUCCAUAUAAACUGCACAGGUUAUGGUAAAUGUUUCUGUUUACAGUAACUCUCAUCACUACCCUGCUCGGAGCGAUCAAUAAGACCUACAGAGUGCAGAUUGAAUUUUACACCCAUAUUACACUUGAUGCACUCUUUUUGGAGGUCUAAAUCUCAAUUCCAGUACUUUCUGUGAGUGAGUUCUAGCUUCGAGGAUCCAGUUUUGUGCAGAUGAGUUCCCCAAAAAAGAGAUGAUUUGGAGCUUAAACGGACAAAAAAUGCACUUUAAAGUCCGAGUAGAAGUCCAAGGCAUAGGAGGAUCUGGCUUUGAGAAAAUGAACUGAUAUAGAGCCAAAACUGCAUCAUAUACGGUUCAGUAGUCCGAGUAAAAAAAAAAGAAAAAUUAUUAGAAUUAAGUCCGGGGAUCAACGGUCGAGCAUAUGCGACAUCGGCCGCCAAAAGCAUAAAAACUAAAAAGUUUCACCAGUGCAGGGUGCCUGACAGCACCAAUAUAAAAACGCUACUUCCCUGCAUGUUUUUCAAGUCUUCUGAAUAUUUGGCUUAGCACGGCGCACCUUGUGGUGUGACAAGCCAUUUCUGGACCUGUUCGAGUUCGUUAAGGUUUAAGAGAUGUGUUUUAGUCCUAGGUUAUUUUCCCACAUUAUAAAUACAUGUAAGAACCGAUUUAGAAGGGGAACUAGAAUAGUUUGAAGGAGAGGAAGAGGAUAUCCGAUGAGGGCUAGAAUGAUAGCUCAAGCGUAAUUGAUCCUAAGCUUUCUUCGAUCUUUUCUCUAAUAGCUUUUUACUUCUUAUGGUUGUGGUGCUGUAUGAUUGUUGUUUUUUGAAACUUGAAUUGAUUAUAUUGCUCAACAUAUUGGUUUAUUUAUUCAA